AACGAACGCUGGCGGCAGGCUUAACACAUGCAAGUCGAGCGCAUCCUUCGGGGUGAGCGGCAGACGGGUGAGUAACGCGUGGGAAUCUACCUUUUGCUACGGAAUAGCUCCGGGAAACUGGAAUUAAUACCGUAUGUGCCCUUAGGGGGAAAGAUUUAUCGGCAAGAGAUGAGCCCGCGUUGGAUUAGCUAGUUGGUGGGGUAAAGGCCUACCAAGGCGACGAUCCAUAGCUGGUCUGAGAGGAUGAUCAGCCACAUUGGGACUGAGACACGGCCCAAACUCCUAAGGGAGGCAGCAGUGGGGAAUAUUGGACAAUGGGCGCAAGCCUGAUCCAGCCAUGCCGCGUGAGUGAUGAAGGCCUUAGGGUUGUAAAGCUCUUUCACCGGAGAAGAUAAUGACGGUAUCCGGAGAAGAAGCCCCGGCUAACUUCGUG
rnacentral:rRNA from 1 species